GAUCAUGGCUCAGGAUGAACGCUGGCGGCGUGCCUAACACAUGCAAGUCGAACGGACUUACAUUGAAGCCUAGCGAUAUGUAAGUUAGUGGCGGACGGGUGAGUAACGCGUGGGUAACCUGCCUUGUACUGGGGGACAACAGUUGGAAACGACUGCUAAUACCGCAUAAGCGCACAGCUUCACAUGAAGCAGUGUGAAAAACUCCGGUGGUACAAGAUGGACCCGCGUCUGAUUAG
rnacentral:rRNA from 1 species